GACGAACGCUGGCGGCGUGCUUAACACAUGCAAGUCGAACGGAAAGGCCCUGCUUUUGUGGGGUGCUCGAGUGGCGAACGGGUGAGUAACACGUGAGUAACCUGCCCUUGACUUUGGGAUAACUUCAGGAAACUGGGGCUAAUACCGGAUAGGAGCUCCUGCUGCAUGGUGGGGGUUGGAAAGUUUCGGCGGUUGGGGAUGGACUCGCGGCUUAUCAGCUUGUUGGUGGGGUAGUGGCUUACCAAGGCUUUGACGGGUAGCCGGCCUGAGAGGGUGACCGGCAAAAUGGGACCGAGCAUACGGCCAGACUCCUACGGGAGGCAGCAGUGGGGAAUAUUGCACAAUGGGCGGAAGCCUGAUGCAGCAACGCCGCGUGCGGGAUGACGGCCUUCGGGUUGUAAACCGCUUUCGCCUGUGACGAAGCGUGAGUGACGGUAAUGGGUAAAGAAGCACCGGCUAACUACGUG
rnacentral:rRNA from 1 species